GCCUAUGGCCAUACCACCCUGAAUGUGCCAUGUCUUGCCUGAUCUCAGAAGCUUAAGCAGGCUUGAGCCUGGUUAGUACUGGAAUGGGAGACCACCCGGGAAGACCAAGUGCUGUAGGCU
rnacentral:rRNA from 1 species